CAAGAUAUUUCUGGAUCUACCAUUUUUCUGGAUCUACCAAUUCUCCUCCUCGCCUCUCUCUCGCUCUCUCUCUCAUUUGUUGAUCGACAGAUAUCCAUUCUCCCCUCGCAAAAGAAGAAGAGAUGAUUGAUUCCCUUUCUCGAUUCAUUUGUCAAGGGAUAAUUCAACCUCUCUCCCGUUUCAUUUCUUGACAGAUAGUCCAGCCUCUUGCAUUUUUCUUUCUUUUUCGAGGCAUCUUGCAUUUCAUUUGUAGAGACACAAUUCAUCCUCUCCUCCCGCUCCAUUUGAAGCAAGAUAAGAUAAUUCAUCACCUCUCCCGCCCAUUCCAAUUGCCGAGAGAGAAUCCAUCCAUUGCCGCAUCGCAAUAUGCAUCAACAUCAGGGCAUCUCUCAUCGCGACGGGGAAGCAGGAACUCCUGGGCCGAUGAUGCCUCCGUCCAAGGACGAGGAGGAGGAGGAGCCUCCUCGUAAGCCUCCGGUGUCCACAACGUGCUUCAUAUUAGGAUUUUUCGCCGCGCUAUGCUGCUGCUGCUUGGUUGACGAGCCGCUCAUGUGACACGGGUUGUCUUGCGUGCUGUGCCGUGCUUUUUGUACAUAAUGCAGGAAACAAGCUAUCUAUCUCUGGCC